rnacentral:snRNA from 1 species
GUGCUCACUUUGGCAGCACAUAUACUAAAACUGGAAUGAUACAAAGAAGACUAAUAUGGCCCCUGUGCAAGAAUGGCAUGCAAAUUCGUGAAGCAUUCCAUAUUUUU